UGGUUAAUUUUCGUAAGGGCUGUUUUUGAAUGUGACGAAAGCGAAAACGAAAGCUGGAGGGACUGGCGAGCGAAUCGUCUCAUGCUUCGAUUCUUUUUUUUAAUGAAUCGAUUGACCCGCAAAUCAAAAUUACAGACAUACUUGUGAAAAUCUAAAAUACAUUAUAAUGGAAUUGCAAUUUAAUAAACAGUUCUUUGCGAAACAAAAUUGUUUAAUACAUUUCGACGUACAUGUCCGAUUUAUAGGAUAUACAGAACUUAAAGAGUGAAAACUCAAAUACAAACGCGAUCAAACACUAAAAAAACAUUACGUUUUUAAACAAAAGGUAAAAGUCAAAUAAAUAACUUUUAAAAACAGAAAUAUUGUGUACACUUUUAUGUGGAGGCUUCAAUGAAUCACAUAUUCGACUCGUCUGAUUCAGGAUUUGAUCAAAUGAGUUGAAUUCGACGACGGGCUGUAAGUUUCGAUAAGUUGUAAUGCCUGAAGGGUGUGGCAUUACCACUUAUCGUCACAUACUUUGUUUAUAUUUUAACUCUUGAUUCACUCCGGUGUGUGUGUUCUCAAACUGUUCAUUAAAGCUUUACCUUAAUUCGCGAAGUUUCACUGAGAAGAAGAUUCGCUUAAAAAUGACACAAAACACUUCCGGAAGAGCGAAUAACUCGAAACUAUACAGUACUGUAACCUCUGUUGGACUACCAUACUCACCAGAUAAACCAUCAAACCCUGACCUGUUGAAACUGAAGCAAGACCUUCGAGAUCUGUUGUCCAGAUAUUCUGAAGGGAUCUCUCUGAGUAAAGCCAGAAGUUUCUGCCCUCUCCUCCUCAAUCCAAAGCUGCUGAAUGAUCACGCAUCCGUACGGCAACUCCUACAAUCCAUGCCUGAUGUGGUGACACUACAGGGAUUCGGGGUCCAAACAAUCCUCCUUCCCACUACCAAAACCGUGCAGUACAAUGCUUUGCCACAAUGCUUUGCAGUCUACAAACAGAACACUUAAGGGGACCAGAACACUUAUGUGAAUCUUUUAAUAUCAGACUCAGGUGAUAUCUCAUACCUCAACAUGUUUAAAAUAUUUUGAAUAAUGGAAACACAGGAAUUGUGGAAAAAUCAUAUAUUUUAUUAUGUUACAAAUAUCAAGAUGUGUCUAUAGACCUAUAAAGAACUAAAGCUGUUUUUUAGUGAAAUAUAGAAAGAAUACUUGGCAACUCAGGAUACAUAUUUAUUAAUCAUUAUAGUGUUUUUAACAAUUGCUUAUAAAAUGCCUAUAUAUUUAAAAAUUAGGGCUGGGCAUACAUUAAUCUCAUACAAAAUAAAAGUAAUUUUUUGCAUGAAUAUAUGAGUUUGUGCUGUGUGUAAAUAUUACGUAUAUUUAAACGCACGCACGCGAAAUGUUUUAUAUAUAUAUAUAUAUAUAUAUAUAUAUAUAUAUAUAUAUAUAUUAAAUUUGCAUAUAUAAAUGUUUCUUAAAUACAUUCAUGAAUGUGUGUGCAUUUAUAUAUACAUAAUAAUUAUACACAGCACAAACUCAUAUAUUCAUGCAAAAAAAAUACUUUUAUUUUGUAUGAGAUUAAUCUAUGCCCAGCACUAUUAAAAAUACAAAAUGUUUUCAAGUAAUUUUACUGCUGGGUUAUGGGACUCUACAUGCAGAUUGUAAUUUAUAACCCAGAUACUUUCAUAAUAAAUGAAAUACAUGUGCUGUUCAAAUGGGUGAAUAUCAUUUGUAAGAUUACACCACAAAAAUCAAUGUGUAGGCCAGCACUGAUCUGUCAUGACAAAAUUGUGCAUGCAAAAAAAAAAGACAAUAUCUAUAAACACAUUCUUUCUAUUUCUAUUUUGGUAUGAAAUGAGAUUCAUGAGGUUCAAAUACUGUUUAUUCACUCAAAUGUAUUUUAUUUUAUGAAAUGUUUAGUUUUAUGUUAAAAAUAUUUAAAUAAUUCAUAUAUGUUUCAGUAUAUGUAAAAAAAGAAUGAAAAAGAUCUGCAUUACAGUAAAAUGGUUAUUAGUGUGCGUGUACAUUUUCUGACUUUAUAAUAAUGUGCAUAAUAGUAUGACAUAAGCAUCAGUCAGUUUUACACUUGCUUACAAUCCAUCCACCCAUUAAUGUGUUACAAAACAAUCACAGUACUAAUGUUGCCCCAUACAGGCUUGUUUGAGGUACUCCAACCUGAGAUUACAUCAUGA